AACGAACGCUGGCGGCAUGCCUAACACAUGCAAGUCGAACGAGACCUUCGGGUCUAGUGGCGCACGGGUGCGUAAGGCGUGGGAACCUGUACUUCGGUUCGGAAUCACUCAGAGAAAUUUGCGCUACUACCGGCUAAUGUCUUCGGCCCACAGAGUUCUCGCCUUUGGAUGGGCCCGCGUAGGAUUAGCUUGUUGGUUGGGUAAUGGCCUACCAAGGCGACGAUCCUUAGCUUGUCAGAGAGGAAGAGCAGACACUCUUGGACGUAGACACAGUCCGGACUCCUGCAGGAUGGGGGAGAGGGUAAUAUAGGAAAAUGGGGUGAGGGCAGAACCAGCUAUGCCGCGAGAGUGAUGAAGGCCGUAGAGUUGUAAAGCGCUUUUACCAGGGAGGAUAAUGACGGUACCUGAAGAAUAAGCACCGGCUAACUCCGUG
rnacentral:rRNA from 1 species